CACAGGGGCGGGCGUGUGGAAGCGCGUGCGGCUGAAGUUGGAGGCGCGGGACGUGCCCGCGCGCCGCGCGCACCACGACCAGGUGGACUACAUAAUAUCGGAGGCGACCAGCGCAGAGAACCUGUGCCUGAUGUACGAGGGAUGGAUGGCGUGGGUGUGAAGCUCUCGCCUUCACCCGGGAGACGAGCCACCGGACCGGCGCCGGACCCACCGGACCGCGUCCGACACGAUUCCAAUCCGGGACGACACGGCCGAGUCUCACGUCCGACUCAGGACGGAGACUGUGAGAGCUGUGCUUCGUGUCCGGUUUUUACAUCCGGAACGGAGAACGGAGAUAUCCAUUCUCGAUUAAUGGUAAGUUAAGAGCAGACAACGCGUCCGAUACGUAUCUGGAACAGGUUUUUAUUUUUCUCUUAUUCACUAGGAAAACUCGAUUUUCGAUUUAAAUUUUCCCGCCGCGUUCGUUCACCGCGUUUGGCCGGCGUUUCGGUUUAGUUCCCGACUGUAGGUGUAUUGCGUUUAAUAUAUUCGUAUGUUGGAAUCGAGUUCGUUAAAUUGUAAAGCGACGCGGGCGAGAUUAGAGUUAUUCGUUUCCUAGCCUGCAUCCGUACUGGGCUGCGAAACAUGACAUCUACUUACGGAUACUGGACUGCGCACAAAAUAAGCGGUCGAAAAAAAAAAAAAAAAACACACAAAAAACAAAAAAAAAAUGCUUCGACUAUCUUAAAGAAAAUGAAACGACAGGUCAUGAUUGACUAAAUCUUUCGAUCUACUCAGAAUCGUUUCGAAAUUGUCGCGUAGAGUAAUUUGUCUAACUUCAAUCGACAUGUUAACGUUAAUAUUAACUGCUAACAUUUACUUCUAUGUAUUCAAGUGUAUCUUAUUAUAAACGUAAUUUAGUGCGAGCUUGUUUCUUCAAACUUCAUUGGAAUUGUACAUUUCUUAUUUCGUAACCAAAAUAAUGGAGAAUAUAUGUCCAAUUGAAACAAUGAAAACCAAAGUAAAUUUUUCCUCAGAACUGUCUUCAAAUUAUUUGGUUCAUAUCAUAUUAAGGUUCAAUAGAAAUAGCUAGAAUAAUUAAACAUGACAUGAUAAUAGUUUUUACAAAUGCAAAAUGUGCCUGUAGUCGAAAUAUGAAAUAUGUCCAAAUCUGGACAAAAAUCUAAUAAAAUUUAGUAAAUAGUAUAUAAUAGUAGUAGUUGGAAUUUGUGAAAAAAAAUCUAAAUGUUUAAUGUUGUAGUUUUAAUAAAUUACUCUGAAUGCAACAAUCAAAACAAUUGGAUUACUUUAUACUAAAUAUUGAGUCAAUGAAGUUGAGAAUCAAGCUCUUUAUAGUUAUAUAUGCAUGUACCACGAGUGCUAGUAGCGUGAAUGAUGCCAACAUAACAUUAACCGAUAACUCCUAGUAUUAUGAUUGUGACGGUGAUUGUGUGUCCUUGUUCAAUUUAUCCUUAAUGUUUAGACUCAAAAUUUUUUCAUAAAAAAUCCCAUUUUGUUAUUGUAUCUCAAAUAUUUUUACUAGUUUAACAUGAACGAACCAAAAAAAAAAUAAUCAAUAUCUGAUCCGUGUAACUGUUAUAUAAACGUUUAUAUUUAUUUUAUAAAUGACAUCUCAGAAGGAAAAAGAUUUCAAACUGUAGAGUAAAAGUAAAACAAAAUAUAUUUGAUUAGUUAAAAUAUUUGAGUUACAGCAGAAUUAUCGUUUAUGUAACUGGACUAGCGAUAUGUCGAAUUUUAAUUUUCAUAAAAGCCUCUUUAAAGAAAAGUAUUAAUAACCAAUAACGAGAACAAGAAACAGUCAAAAUAUUAAAAUUUAAUUUACAUUACAAAAAUAUAUUUUUGCGAUUCGAAAUAAUUUUCGACAUAGGUGUUGCAUUAACUAACGUUGAAAAUAAAAUAUUCCUCACAUCGCUAUACAUGUAGUUGUAUUUUUAUUUACUAUUAUUUUUUUUAUAACUUCAUAUUAAUAUGUACUUAGUUAAUAGAUAAAAUAGUAAUAGAAUUGCGCCACAUAUUUGCGAAAAGUUAAAAUUGUAAUUAACAUAUUAUGUACUUGUCGACAAUAUUUACAAAAUAUCAUUUUCAUCGCCAACUGAUAUGAGUAAAGGUUUGUCAAAAUAACGUAAGUUCGAAUGUGUGGCGCUCGCAUAAUAUUCGAAAAUAAGAAUUAUCUGUAGAAUCCAAAAACGCAUUCACCGAUUGUAUGUUUGUGUCGCUUCUUAAUUAUUAUAUAAUAAAUGGUGUAUGUCA